UUGAGAAAGUGAUGAAAGUUGUAGAUCGGUGAUGAUCUUUUGAUUCAUAUGAUCAAUACAAAUUUCAACUCGCUACGUUCUUUCUGAUUCAAAC
rfam:Eutrema salsugineum unplaced genomic scaffold scaffold_5, whole genome shotgun sequence.